UGAGGAAUAUUGCGCAAUGGGGGCAACCCUGACGCAGCAACGCCACGUGAGUGAGGAAGGUUUUCGGAUUGUAAAGCUCUGUCGAGCGGAAAGAAAUGCAUGAUGGCUAAUAUCCAUCAUGCUUGACGGUACCGCUAAAGGAAGCACCGGCUAACUCCGUGCCAGCAGCCGCGGUAAUACGGGGGGUGCAAGCGUUGUUCGGAAUUAUUGGGCGUAAAGAGCGUGUAGGCGGCUUGACAAGUCAGAUGUGAAAUCCCUGGGCUUAACCUAGGAAGUGCAUUUGAAACUGUCAGGCUUGAGUAAGGGAGAGGAAAGUGGAAUUCCUGGUGUAGAGGUGAAAUGCGUAGAUAUCAGGAGGAACACCGGUGGCGAAGGCGACUUUCUGGCCCUAUACUGACGCUGAGACGCGAAAGCGUGGGUAGCAAACA
rnacentral:rRNA from 1 species